rnacentral:rRNA from 1 species
UAGUUUGAUCCUGGCUCAGGACGAACGCUGGCGGCGUGCUUAACACAUGCAAGUGGAGCGACGAACCGGGGCUUGCCCCGGGGCAGAGCCGCGAACGGGUGAGUAACACGUGGGUUACCUACCCCAAUGACCGGGACAACCCGAGGAAACUCGGGCUAAUACCGGAUGUGGUCUUCGGACGAAAGGAAGCUUCGGCCUCCGCAUUGGGAUGGGCCCGCGGCGCAUUAGCUUGUUGGUGGGGUAACGGCCUACCAAGGCGACGAUGCGUAGCUGGUCUGAGAGGACGAUCAGCCACACUGGGACUGAGACACGGCCCAGACUCCUACGGGAGGCAGCAGUGGGGAAUCUUGCGCAAUGCGCGAAAGCGUGACGCAGCAACGCCGCGUGGGGGAAGAAGGCCUUCGGGUUGUAAACCUCUUUCAGUUGGGACGAAGCCUUACGGGUUAAUAGCCCGCGGAGGUGACGGUACCUUCAGCAGAAGCCCCGGCUAACUACGUGCCAGCAGCCGCGGUAAUACGUAGGGGGCAAGCGUUGUCCGGAAUCAUUGGGCGUAAAGAGCGUGUAGGCGGCCCGAUUAGUCCGCUGUGAAAGUCCAGGGCUCAACCCUGGAAUGCCGGUGGAUACUGUCGGGCUCGAAUCCGGAAGAGGUGAGUGGAAUUCCUGGUGUAGCGGUGAAAUGCGCAGAUAUCAGGAGGAACACCAAUGGCGAAGGCAGCUCACUGGGACGGUAUUGACGCUGAGACGCGAAAGCGUGAGGAGCAAACAGGAUUAGAUACCCUGGUA